UGAGGAAUAUUGGUCAAUGGGCGCAAGCCUGAACCAGCCAUGCCGCGUGCAGGAUGAAGCAUCUAUGGUGUGUAAACUGCUUUUGUACGGGAAGAAACACCUCUACGUGUAGAGGCUUGACGGUACCGUAAGAAUAAGGAUCGGCUAACUCCGUGCCAGCAGCCGCGGUAAUACGGAGGAUCCAAGCGUUAUCCGGAAUCAUUGGGUUUAAAGGGUCCGUAGGCGGUUUUAUAAGUCAGUGGUGAAAUCCGGCAGCUCAACUGUCGAACUGCCAUUGAUAAUGUAGAACUUGAAUUAUUGGGAAGUAACUAGAAUAUGUAGUGUAGCGGUGAAAUGCUUAGAUAUUACAUGGAAUACCCAUUGCGAAGGCAGGUUACUAACAAUUGAUUGACGCUGAUGGACGAAAGCGUGGGGAGCGAACAGG
rnacentral:rRNA from 1 species